UCCUCCCUUAGCCUUCUGCGUAAAGAUGGACUUGCAGGAGGAGAACACACCCUGCAACUACAGAACCUCAUGCAUCCCCAAAGAACAUUCAAGUCUGAGCCUCAAGGAGCCUCUGCGACUCGGUGUCUAGAUCCAGGAAAUGGAGAAUGAGCCGUGACUUUGGAUGCUUCACUCUUGUCCAUCAGGCUCGGAAUUGGCCUGUUGAAGUAGGAGGCAGGACUCAACUUCAGACCAGAUUGAAGACUGGCUGACACAGAAGAGGCACCAAAAGCACCUCUCUCUCCAUAAGACAUGCCCACCAGUGCCAUGACAGUUUACCAUUGCUAUGGCAAUGCCCAGAAGUUCUCACCCCUUUUCCAGACAUUUCUGCAUAAUCUACCCCUCAAUUGGCAUGUGAUCAAAAGUGGGUGUCAAAAUGACUGUGGAACUGUCCCUGAGCUGCUACUCUUGACAUGCUGGUUACAGGGUAGCCCGGCUCUGCAGGGACAGUCACGGAGCUGAAAAACUGCUGCCUAAUGAAGCUGUUUUCUUCUACCACCGGCUCACCCUCAAAUUAUUUCCUGAGCGAACUCAAG
rnacentral:lncRNA from 10 species